rnacentral:rRNA from 1 species
GUGUCAGCAGCCGCGGUAAUACGGAGGAUCCGAGCGUUAUCCGGAUUUAUUGGGUUUAAAGGGAGCGUAGAUGGGUUGUUAAGUCAGUUGUGAAAGUUUGCGGCUCAACCGUAAAAUUGCAAUUGAUACUGGCGUCCUUGAGUACAGUUGAGGUGGGCGGAAUUCGUGGUGUAGCGGUGAAAUGCUUAGAUAUCACGAAGAACUCCUAUUGCGAAGGCAGCUCACUAAACUGCAACUGACAUUGAGGCUCGAAAGUGUGGGUAUCAAACAGGAUUAGAUACCCUGGUAGUCCACACGGUAAACGAUGAAUACUCGCUGUUUGCGAUAUACAGCAAGCGGCCAAGCGAAAGCAUUAAGUAUUCCACCUGGGGAGUACGCCGGCAACGGUGAA